rnacentral:rRNA from 1 species
GUAUUGUAAUAAGAUUUUAAUUGAAUGCUAAAAGAAUGGAAAUUUAAAAAAAAACUUUUUUAAAAAUAAAAAUUGAAUUUUUUUUAAUUUGUGCAAAAACAAUUAUAUUUAUUAAAGACAAGAAGACCCUAAGAAUUUAAGAUUUUACAAUUAAAAAGUUUUUUUUUAAAAUCUUGAUUGGGGCGAUCAAAAAAUAUUAAUAACUUUUUAAAAUUUAAAUUGAUCUAUUAUUAAUAAACUAAUGAAUUAAAUACUCUAGGGAUAACAGCGUAAUAAUUUUUGAUAGAUCUUAUUGACAAAAUAGUUUGCGACCUCGAUGUUGGAUUAGGAUUCUUUUUUAAUGAAGAAGUUAAAAAAAGAAGUUUGUUCAACUUUUAAAUUCCUACUUGAUCUG